ACUAUUGUAAAAAUUAUUUCCGUCCAACUAUGUCAUAGACAAGCAAGGGGUUUUGUGAUAUUACAUCAUAUAAAAGGAUGUUUAAAUGCCCACCUAUGAAUCAAAUGUUGAUAUCUCAGGCCUGGGACAUAUUAAUAGGCCUAGGAUGGUUUGGAUGGAUCUUUUUCGCGGAACAUAUGUAUCUAAGUCAACUCAUAGUUCCAUUCAACACCUAUGUGUUUAUGCCAUUGGAUUGGGAUAUCCAUCAUGUGCAGGGCCCUCAUCUCAUACAAUGGAAGUAUCAGCCAUUGUGCUGAUGUCCUUUAAUGUCCAAAUCUGUCAUAAAUAGUUCAUGGAAUUCUUACAUGAUAAAUAUGUUAAUUAAUUAUAGACAAUCUUAUAACUUAAGUAGAUUUAUAUUGGAAAAUAUGAAUUUCGUUUAACAUAUUUUAAAAGUUACUGAGUCGGAAGUCAUUUUCUGAAUUACUAAAUCACUUGUCAUUGUAUUUAAACUCGAUCAUGAGGAUAUAGAGUUUUACCUUUAAGAUAGCCUGUUUGCCCUUGUGUAUUAAAAAAAUAAUUAGAAAUAAAAUAUAUAAUUCGGGUACGUCCUUGUAUUUCAAAAUAUUA
rnacentral:lncRNA from 1 species